rnacentral:rRNA from 1 species
AUUGAACGCUGGCGGCGUGCUUAACACAUGCAAGUCGAUCGGUAACAGGUGUAGCAAUACAUGCUGACGAGAGGCGGACGGGUGAGGAACGCUUGGGAAUCUGCCCAUCAGCGGGGGACAACCCGGGGAAACCCGGGCUAAUACCGCAUACGCUCUAUGGAGGAAAGCCGGGGACCGCAAGGCCUGGCACUGAUGGAUGAGCCCAAGUCGGAUUAGCUAGUUGGCGGGGUAACGGCCCACCAAGGCGACGAUCCGUAGCUGGUCUGAGAGGACGAUCAGCCACACUGGAACUGAGACACGGUCCAGACUCCUACGGGAGGCAG